AAUGGUCUGGUACUGAUGGCUCUAUUGUCCCUCCAUCAGGUCCUAAUGGCCUGGUAUUCAGGGCUCUACUGUCCCUCCAUCAGGUCCUAAUGGCCUGGUACUCAAGGGCUCUACUGUCCCUCCAUCAGGUCCUAAUGGCCUGGUACUCAGGGCUCUACUGUCCCUCCAUCAGGUCCUAAUGGCCUGGUACUCAGGGCUCUACUGUCCCUCCAUCAGGUCCUAAUGGCCUGGUACUCAGGGCUCUACUGUCCCUCCAUCAGGUCCUAAUGGCCUGGUACUCAGGGCUCUACUGUCCCUCCAUCAGGUCCUAAUGGCCUGGUACUCAGGGCUCUACUGUCCCUCCAUCAGGUCCUAAUGGCCUGGUACUCAGGGCUCUACUGUCCCUCCAUCAGGUCCUAAUGGCCUGGUACUCAGGGCUCUACUGUCCCUCCAUCAGGUCCUAAUGGCCUGGUACUCAGGGCUCUACUGUCCCUCCAUCAGGUCCUAAUGGCCUGGUACUCAGGGCUCUACUGUCCCUCCAUCAGGUCCUAAUGGCCUGGUACUCAGGGCUCUACUGUCCCUCCAUCAGGUCCUAAUGGCCUGGUACUCAGGGCUCUACUGUCCCUCCAUCAGGUCCUAAUGGCCUGGUACUCAGGGCUCUACUGUCCCUCCAUCAGGUCCUAAUGGCCUGGUACUCAGGGCUCUACUGUCCCUCCAUCAGGUCCUAAUGGCCUGGUACUCAGGGCUCUACUGUCCCUCCAUCAGGUCCUAAUGGCCUGGUACUCAGGGCUCUACUGUCCCUCCAUCAGGUCCUAAUGGCCUGGUACUCAGGGCUCUACUGUCCCUCCAUCAGGUCCUAAUGGCCUGGUACUCAGGGCUCUACUGUCCCUCCAUCAGGUCCUAAUGGCCUGGUACUCAGGGCUCUACUGUCCCUCCAUCAGGUCCUAAUGGCCUGGUACUCAGGGCUCUACUGUCCCUCCAUCAGGUCCUAAUGGCCUGGUACUCAGGGCUCUACUGUCCCUCCAUCAGGUCCUAAUGGCCUGGUACUCAGGGCUCUACUGUCCCUCCAUCAGGUCCUAAUGGCCUGGUACUCAGGGCUCUAC